CCUACGGGGUGCAGCAGUGAGGAAUAUUGGUCAAUGGACGAGAGUCUGAACCAGCCAAGUAGCGUGAAGGAUGACUGCCCUAUGGGUUGUAAACUUCUUUUAUAUGGGAAUAAAAUGUUCCACGUGUGGGAUUUUGUAUGUACCAUAUGAAUAAGGAUCGGCUAACUCCGUGCCAGCAGCCGCGGUAAUACGGAGGAUCCGAGCGUUAUCCGGAUUUAUUGGGUUUAAAGGGAGCGUAGGUGGAUUGUUAAGUCAGUUGUGAAAGUUUGCGGCUAAACCGUAAAAUUGCAGUUGAAACUGGCAGUCUUGAGUACAGUAGAGGUGGGCGGAAUUCGUGGUGUAGCGGUGAAAUGCUUAGAUAUCACGAAGAACUACGAUUGCGAAGGCAGUUCACUGGACUGCAACUGACACUGAGGCUCGAAAGUGUGGGUAUCAAACAGGAUUAGAUACCCGUGUAUC
rnacentral:rRNA from 1 species